GAAGCUGCGGCAGCGACACUAAGUGUUGUUGGGUAGGGGAGCGUUCUGUAAGCCGUUGAAGGUGGCCUGUGAGGGUUGCUGGAGGUAUCAGAAGUGCGAAUGCUGACAUAAGUAACGAUAAUGCGGGUGAAAAACCCGCACGCCGGAAGACCAAGGGUUCCUGUCCAACGUUAAUCGGGGCAGGGUGAGUCGAUCCCUAAGGCGAGGCCGAAAGGCGUAGUCGAUGGGAAACAGGUUAAUAUUCCUGUACCUGUCUC
rnacentral:rRNA from 1 species